UACAGAGGUCCCAAGCGUUGUUCGGAUUCACUGGGCGUAAAGGGUGCGUAGGUGGUGGGGUAAGUUUGAGGUGAAAGCUCCGGGCUCAACCCGGAAAUAGCCUUGAAGACUAUCCUGCUCGAGGGUUGGAGGGGGGACUGGAAUUCUCGGUGUAGCAGUGAAAUGCGUAGAUAUCGAGAGGAACACCAGUGGCGAAGGCGAGUCCCUGGACAACACCUGACACUGAGGCACGAAAGCUAGGGGAGCAAACGGG
rnacentral:rRNA from 1 species